GCAUUAAUGGGGUAGUGGUAACCUGGGUCGUUGCCAUAUACCGGGGCAUGGUAGGGAAUUUGUCGACCCGCCGGGGGUUCGAUUCCCCCUUAAUGCA